rnacentral:rRNA from 1 species
UACGGAGGGUGAGAGCGUUACCCGGAUUUACUGGGUGUAAAGCGCACGCAGGCGGAUCGAUAAGUCGGGGGUGAAAGCCCGGGGCUCAACCUCGGAAUUGCCUUCGAUACUGGCGGUCUCGAGUCCGGGAGAGGUGAGUGGAAGUCCUAGUGUAGAGGUGAAAUUCGUAGAUAUUAGGAAGAACACCAGUGGCGAAGGCGGCUCACUGGCCCGGUACUGACGCUCAGGUGCGAAAGCGUGGGGAGCAAACAGG